AGAGUAUAGAGGACGCUGGGACAAAGUGUUUCCCUCAAGUUGAUGUUUACAAGUUGAUAAAAGUCAAGAGACGAGCAAUACUUAUCAAAAUAAAUAAAAUGAAACACAAAUUAGCCCCCAAAAAACACUAAUGACGUUUUAUUCAUAAUUUUGCGCCAUUAGAGCGAAUGCCGGGAAAUCCAAUAUCCCCUUAAAACACAUGAAAACACUUUUGUAAGACAAUUUAAACCCGUAAAAACAGUAACCACAUUUUCAUCAAGUAUUCUCCGCCAUUAAAACACAAUUAAAAAAAUAAAUAAGGAAAUAACACUAUGCAGGUCAAAGAAGAAGAAGAGGAAGACAAGAUGGCCGCCGACCUCUGCCCCAGCCGAGCCAGUCCACACUUUUUCGCCAUUCCAAGCCUUGUGGAGGGUGUGAGGUCUGUUAGGAAGUGACAAUCGUUCUCUCAGCCUUUCGACACCACAAGCAGCCGCCGGGAACCCUGCUGGACAUACGGGGAAGGUCCCUGAUGCCUGGGGGCAGACUCCUGGCUGGUGGCUGUCCUCCUCACACCUCCUGCCUCCACAUGUCUUCUCAAAGGUCUUUUUGGUGGUCGGGCUGUGAGUCUCCCAGCCUUGCCGAUGGAAGACUCUCCUCCCUGGCCUUCCUCCUCCUUCAGGUCUUCCAGCUGGUCUCCUCCCGUGUACCUCCACAACUCCUCUGGAAGGUGGAGAGGGAGGAGUGCGGACAAUAACGCUGCCUGUUCAGUGUGGGCCCCAAACACCUAGAUGCCAAGGAAGAGAACAUGAAGGUGACGGCAAUGAGAGAGGAGGAGGCAGAGGACGAGGGAAUGAUUUAAAUGCUGCGGAAGAGAGCUGUCUGGGAACUGGCUUGAAGAGAGAUAAGAAGAAGAAGAGGAAGAGGAGGAAGAAGAACAAGAGGAGGAGAAGGAUGAAGGGGGAACACAGGAAACAAUUGGUCCCUGCUUUCCCCUGACGGUGGUGGUCUCCUUGCUCCCGGGUGGUUGUCUUCACAUUUUUCUGCCUCCGCCUCCACAGUGCUUCCCAAAGUCCACCUCCAGUCAGCCUGAUCAUCCCUGGGGAGCCUGACUGCUCCAUCAUCUUCAGUCACCCAGGAUGUGAAGAACAAACUACAGAGCAUGUGGUGUGUGCUGGGAUGCCUUGCAGGAGAUCACGCUGGGAUACGAAGCCGCCCCUCGAGAGAUGGAGUCCACUCAACCGCUCGAUUCUGCCGAGAGAAAAGAAUCGUUCAACUCUGAAGACUGCCACGGAUUCUUAUGUAUUAGCUAGCGAGAUGUGAACUUUCUAUCUCGUGAAAAUAAAGUUCAGGGACGAAUCUUGUGUUUUAUUUUACAAAUAACCAUUGUGCUAAAUCUCCGGACGCCCGAAGAAGUAUAAUGGACUUAGUACAGAUUUUCAAGCUAUUUUUACUGCUAGUUAUGGCAAAUUUUGUUCAUUUUAAAGCCAUUUUUCAUGUAUUUUUUGGCUAUAAACUGAAUUUUUUUUUGUUUUGAUAAUUUUAAAAUUUAAGCAAGGAGAAACUAAUUUAAACCACAAAAAUCAACUUAUUAUAUAAAAUAAGUAUAACUAACUAAUACAAGGAAAGAAACAUUAGAAAUAUAAGCUUAUGAGAGAGGAAGAUGAAGGGAACUUAUUAAGAGGAGAGAUUGCAUACACAGGUCAAAAUAGUUAAGCAACGGAAAUGAAGGGAACACAAGAACAUUAAACAAGACGUAAAUCAGACAUCUAUAAAAAUAAGAGUACUCGAGAGCAGAGAAAGACAUUAAAGAUUGCAUAUACAUAACGAGGUCAAAAAAGUUCAAGAAAAAGCCGUAGAAAUGAAGGGAAAUCAUUACCUUACAAGACAAAGCCAUAACACAACAGACAGACAUCUAGAAAAAGACAACUCAAAAUCAGAGAAAAUCACAGAAACGAGAAGAAAGGUUACAAGAGAGAGAG